rnacentral:rRNA from 1 species
GAUGAACGCUGGCGGCGUGCCUAAUACAUGCAAGUCGAGCGAACAGACGAGGAGCUUGCUCCUCUGACGUUAGCGGCGGACGGGUGAGUAACACGUGGAUAACCUACCUAUAAGACUGGGAUAACUUCGGGAAACCGGAGCUAAUACCGGAUAAUAUAUUGAACCUCAUGGUUCAAUAGUGGAAGACGGUUUUGCUGUCACUUAUAGAUGGAUCCGCGCCGCAUUAGCUAGUUGGUAAGGUAACGGCUUACCAAGGCAACGAUGCGUAGCCGACCUGAGAGGGUGAUCGGCCACACUGGAACUGCGACACGGUCCAGACUCCUACGGGAGGCAGCAGUAGGGAAUCUUCCGCAAUGCGCGAAAGCCUGACGGAGCAACGCCGCGUGAGUGAUGAAGGUCUUCGGAUCGUAAAACUCUGUUAUUAGGGAAGAACAAAUGUGUAAGUAACUAUGCACGUAUUGACGGUACCUAAUCAGAAAGCCACGGCUAACUACGUG